rnacentral:rRNA from 1 species
UACGUAGGGUGCAAGCGUUGUCCGGAAUUAUUGGGCGUAAAGAGCUCGUAGGCGGUUUGUCGCGUCUGCUGUGAAAACCCGAGGCUCAACCUCGGGCCUGCAGUGGGUACGGGCAGACUAGAGUGCGGUAGGGGAGAUUGGAAUUCCUGGUGUAGCGGUGGAAUGCGCAGAUAUCAGGAGGAACACCCGUGGCGAAGGCGGCUCUCUGGAAGCGCAACUGACGCUGAGACGCGAAAGCGUGGGGAGCAAACAGG